rnacentral:rRNA from 1 species
UACGUAGGGAGCAAGCGUUGUCCGGAAUCAUUGGGCGUAAAGCGCGCGUAGGUGGCUUCGUAAGUCCGUUGUGAAAGUCAAAGGCUCAACCUUUGAAAGCCGAUGGAUACUGUGGAGCUAGAGUACGGAAGAGGCGAGUGGAAUUCCUGGUGUAGCGGUGGAAUGCGCAGAUAUCAGGAGGAACACCAAUAGCGAAGGCAGCUCGCUGGGACGUACUGACACUGAGGCGCGGAAGCGUGGGGAGCGAACAGG